GACAGAGGUGGCCGAGCGUUAGGCGGAAUCACUGGGCUUAAAGCGUGUGUAGGCGGAUCUGUAAGUACCUUGUGAAAUCCCACGGCUCAACCGUGGAACUGCUUGGUAUACUGCGGGUCUUGAGCCACCUAGGGGCAAGUGGAACAAACGGUGGAGCGGUGAAAUGCGUAGAUAUCGUUUGGAACGCCAAUGGUGAAAACAACUUGCUGGGGGUGUGCUGACGCUGAGACACGAAAGCCAGGGGAGCAAACGGG
rnacentral:rRNA from 1 species